rnacentral:rRNA from 1 species
ACUAAUGCUAGCCUAAUUAUAUCAAUAACCUAAUAAUUAUAUAAAAGUAAAACAAAACAUUUACAUAUAAAAGUAUAGGAGAUAGAAAUUUAUAUAAGAGCUAUAGAGAAAGUACCGUAAGGGAAAGAUGAAAGAAAUAAAUUAAAAGUAUAAAACAGCAUAGAUUAAACCUAGUACCUUUUGCAUAAUGAGUUAACUAGAAACUUUUGACAAAAAGAACUUUAAGUCAAACUUCCCGAAACCAAACGAGCUACUUUUGAACAGCUAAAAAUGAGCAAACUCGUCUAUGUGGCAAAAUAGUGAGAAGAUUUAAAAGUAGAGGUGAAAAGCCUACCGAGUUUGGAGAUAGCUGGUUACCCAAAUAAGAAUUUAAGUUCAACUUUAAGCUCUUCCUAAAACCCUUAAAAUUUAAAUGAAAGCUUAAAUGUUAACUUAAGGAGGGACAGCUCCUUAAAUAAGGAUACUUCCUUAAACAGAGGGUAAAAAACAUAAUAACCAUAGUAGGCCUAAAAGCAGCCAUCAAUUAAGAAAGCGUUCAAGCUCAACAAAAACCCCUCCCCAUUUUAUCCCAAAAAAUAAAAUCAUCCCCUGUAUAAAAAAUUGGGUUAAUCUAUAAAAACAUAGAAGAAAUAAUGUUAAUAUCAGUAACAAGAAAUAUUUCUCCUUGCACAAGCUUAAGUUAAAAACAUAACCAAUUAACAAUUUUAUAAAAAAUUCACUUACCAGCUCAUUAUUACAAAAAUUGUUAACCCAACUCAGGAGUGCAAAAAGGAAAGACUAAAAUAAGUAAAAGGAACUCGGCAAACACAAACCCCGCCUGUUUACCAAAAACAUCACCUCUAGCAUUACAAGUAUUAGAGGCACUGCCUGCCCGGUGACAAUUAAAGUUUAACGGCCGCGGUAUCCUGACCGUGCAAAGGUAGCAUAAUCACUUGUUCCUUAAAUAGGGACUAGUAUGAAUGGCUUAACGAGGGUUUAACUGUCUCUUACCUAUAGUCAGUGAAAUUGACAUUCCCGUGAAGAGGCGGGGAUAAAAUAAUAAGACGAGAAGACCCUAUGGAGCUUUAAUUUAUUAAUUCAUUUUUUAUCAAACUAAAUCAACAAGAAAUAAAAAACAAAUUAUGAAUUAACAAUUUUGGUUGGGGUGACCUCGGAGCAAAAUCAAACCUCCGAAUGAUAUUAACCUAGAUUUACAAAUCAAAGUUUCUAUCAUAAAUUGACCCAGAAAUAAUCUGAUCAACGAACCAAGUUACCCUAGGGAUAACAGCGCAAUCCUAUUAUAGAGUCCAUAUCGACAAUAGGGUUUACGACCUCGAUGUUGGAUCAGGACCCCCAAAUGGUGCAACCGCUAUUAAAGGUUCGUUUGUUCAACGAUUAAAGUCCUACGUGAUCUGAGUUCAGACCGGAGCAAUCCAGGUCGGUUUCUAUCUAUUAUAAAUUUCUCCCAGUACGAAAGGACAAGAGAAAUAAGGCUAAUAAAUCAAUCACGCCUUAAUAGUAAAAGAAUGAUAUUAUAUCAAUUCCCUAACUAUUAAUACACCAACCCAAGAUAAGGGUUC